AUGGCGCAAGUUUCCUGAUGUUUUCUUGGGCAGUCAAGCUGACUGGAGUGGACGCAGUCUUUUUUAUUUGUUCUGCAGACUGAAAAGAAUGAAUUUGGUAAACCCAGCCUGCAACGAAGAACAUGAUGCUGGCAUAGAUAAAGCACAACAUCAGUACCACGAGGCCCCUGAUUAACGGCAUCAUAUUGUUGAUAGUACCUUUGUUCCAGAAGAUGCUGAUCCUGAGCAAUGUGUUCAUCUAAAGAAAUGCCAACAUUGCAGAUAAGAAAAAAGAGUUCUCAGUGCAAGUUGCUGUAAUUCAGGGAUGUGUUCUCACAUAAAGAGAUGAAAUGAAUGAAAAUAACAGAUCAGAGGUGUUGAAGUUAGAUAACAGCACUAAGAGACAAUAAAGAACAAUCCAUGAUGGAUGGGACAGCAUUUUUUCUGCAUGUCAAAUGGACACAUCUUAUUUGGAAUAAUCAAUGGUCUCGCUGAUGUACAUACAGUCAGACAGUUGGGUUACUGAAACCAUGUAUCAUUUAGUCACUGGGGAAUAUAUAAAUCACUCAGGAAAUGAAUACAUGUGAAAAUUUCUAUAUUGGAUAAUUAUACACCUAAAUCCUAGAAUGCAAAUGAAAUAUUCAUAUAGGCUGGACAUGUAGCUGGUUGCAAAGGAUUAUAUCAAGGAAAUGGUGCCAAUUGAAGGAGGAAAAUCAAAUAUAUUGUUGAGAUAUGAACAUGUACACAAAUAUAACGUUACCAGUUGAAAAUGUUUCCGUAGUAUCUGGACCACCUGAUGUGUAUCUUCCACAUGCUGAACCUACGCUGGAUUGGCCGCAAGCCUUCCAAAUAUGGCAUUGGGCAUGGCCGUUACAUAUGUACCUGCUGGGGUCAUGGUUCUCUGGCUUAGUAAUAUACACUUGCGUAUCACUUCUGAACCUUCGUAAGAAAAUUCGCAGCAAUAGAUAUCUCAUUCUCAUCGAUAUAUUCGUCCUAAUGGCUGCUUUACUGCGCUGUUUGUAUUUAUUUCUCGACCCAUAUGAGUCGACUCAGAGUGUGCCAACCGUGGUAUCCAAGCUUGCGUAUGCUUUAGUGUUCCCUUGUCUAACAGGGGCAUUCAGUUAUAUCCAUAUUAUGUUCCUGAAGAUCACCAAGAUGCAUUUCCAAUCAAACAGGUUACAGACUGAACAUUGUCUCCUUUGUUUCAUCAUUGGACACUUCAGCAUUGUUGUGGUUAUCUACACAAUAGUGUCCUUUGCCCCACAGCUUAAGCUUCUUAUCCUUAUCGCUCAGACUGUGUUCAUAUUCUGGGGCUUGUUUCUAUGUGCCAACUUCAUCUACAGUGGAUUCAGAACAUCACAAUACGCCACAGAAACCCAGCGGGCACUCAGAGAGUUGACACAAUACAGCAAGGAAAGAAAAUUAUCAAAAGAUAGCUCCUCGAAUAUGAAAGUCCUUCGAUUGACCAAACCCAAACUUGUGAUAGAUGAAAGUCAUUAUGAUUUCAUGACGGACACCUCAAGUGAAUCAAAUACAGUGUCUUAUUUCAAUGAGUCUGCCAUAGACAGACCAGGAGGGGGCAGAGUUCAGCAAAGUGGUACAGUGGAGAGUACAUUUACAAUCCCUUCACCAGCUCAGGAGAAUAUACUUGGUGUUGAGGUUGACACACGUCAUGAUCUCACUUUUGAUAGCAGGACUUGCAACUCUAGUGAAACUGACUCUGGGGCUAUCGCUCCGCAGCCUAUUUCCAACUCAACUAAACUAACACGUAAGGCAUCUAAUCCCACAACUCGCUCCCUCCGUAGAUCUAGUUGCUCUGAUGCCAUCAGGUUGGUGCGACUGUUCCAUCAACGUGGUUAUGAGAAGUCCAACUGCUCAAGCACUAGUAGUGUGUUCACCAUAGAUGAUAAUGCCAACUCCCAUGGAUUUAAGGCUGCAAAUGGCCAUAUAAAUAGCCUUAAAGCAGAGACUGACACAAUUGGGGAGGAGAGAGGUUAUAUGGCUGAUACUGACUCACCAAUAAGAAGACCCAAACGAUAUAAACAUAAGGGUAAACAUAAAAUAGAUCACCAGGAAGUGCAAACAAUCGGUGACAGUCCUGAACAUCGUCUGUACCAACUGAAAAUGGGUAGUGAGACAAUAAUGAGUUUGUACAGGAUACGCCAGGGUCGGGUGUUACACAGAGUUCUGAAGGUGGCUUACUUUACGGCACUCUGUGGCUUUCUGUGCUGUGUUCUACAGAUCUAUGCAAUGUUUGGGGAGUAUGGUGUCUUGUCUACUGUUGUCAGUCCCGAGCCGUGGCCUUGGUACGUCUUCCAGUCAUGUGCUAGGGUGGCAGAGCUUGGGAUGCUCUCAACUAUGGCAUAUAUCACCUUUACCACUGGCAAAUACAAGCGGAAGAGAAGAGGCAGGAAACGCAAUAUACAUUCAGAAGACAGAUAAACUUUUGCCAAGUUAUGGGCACUUAUUUCAAUGUUAAAUGUUGAGUCCUUUUUGGUCUAUUUUGAGACAAUUAAGGGGUUGACUCAAUAUCUUAUGAGUAAAAAUGUUUCGAUGUGAUUUAUUGAAAAACUAAUUGAACCCUGACUUACACUGGGAUGUGAACAUUUUGGCAAAGAUGAAGCAACUACAUACCAAUCUGAUUCAAGGUCAUUUGAAUCGACCUUUAUUGUAAUUCUUCAUGUGGAGAGUAUAUCACUGUGUAAUUUCUUAACUUAACUUAAUAAGGAUCGCCAAUCGUGAAAAAUGUAAUAGAUUUGAACUCUAAAUUACUGGUGGACUGUAUGAUUGACCUUAAUAUCACCUUCCUGGAUCGUAUGAUUAACCUUAAUAUCAUCUUUGUUCACUCGGCUCCCUUUGGUCGGAGAUGCCUUAUAAUAGUGUGUCUUAUUGCCAAUAGUACUUUCAAAUUCUUCACCCAUGAGAUUCUAUUUGCCGACCUUAUAGUACUACUGUAAUACGAUCCAAAGAAGUAAAUGAUGUCUAAUGAACUAUAGUCUUGUAAUUACAAUGUAUGGGUGACUUGAAGUAAAGGGAAUGAGCAACAGUGAUGUCCUGUUGCAUGAACCAUACAAUACUGGCAAUUAAGGGGAUCAAAUUACCCGUAACUAACUUUGAAUCUUUAAAGAGGAUUCGUUUCCAAAUGAUCUCAGUUUGUAAUAUGAUGAGGCAGACAUAAUGAAUAAAUUGGACAAUGCAAAAGAAACUGUAAAUUGAUACAUUUUGUUCUGUCGUACUGUUUUUUGAUUUAGUAUGAUGACAAAAACAUGUAGCUUUUAUAUGAUGUUUAUCCACAUUUCACAUGAAACCAAGAGACAAUUAAGGGAGAAAUUUUGACAAUUUAAAAAACUG
rnacentral:misc_RNA from 1 species